rnacentral:lncRNA from 1 species
UUCGGGAGCUUUUGUUCCCUGAAUGCUUUCCGUAGAGUUCCGGAGAACGGGAAUGAAAAUGGCGGCCUCCCAGUCUCCCGCCCAGAGGAGCCGAGAGCUUGGGGCCCCACUCCUCAGUGCACCGUCAGAGAAAAACACUCAAUCACUCCCAUCUCCCUGGCCUCCAGCCGCGCUCCUAGCUCACCAGGCCUGUGACAGGUUCAAGGUCUAAAUUUGGGUGUAGAGGAGAAGCUCUUGACGAGGCCAACAAGAGACUUGUGAAAGAAGGUAACAGUACUUCUGAGAACAAAAAAGUGUAAACAGCCCAAAUGUCUGUUAACUAAAGAAGGGAUUAAAAAAAAAGAAGAGAUAAAUAAAUGGAACAUCAUCCUAGAAUGGAAUGUAGCAGUGAAAAUGAACGAACUACAAAUUACACGUAUCAGCAGGCCAGCGGGGAUGAA